GGCACCAAAGAACCUUAGCUCAGUUGCGGAGCAUUUGCCUGCUUUGCAUGCAGAAGGCUGCAGGUUCAAUCCCUGGCUGGCACUA